AGUAACGCGUGAGGAACCUGCCUCAAAGAGGGGGACAACAGUUGGAAACGACUGCUAAUACCGCAUAAGCCCACGGCUCGGCAUCGAGCAGAGGGAAAAGGAGCAAUCCGCUUUGAGAUGGCCUCGCGUCUGAUUAGCUAGUUGGUGAGGUAACGGCCCACCAAGGCGACGAUCGGUAGCCGGACUGAGAGGUUGAACGGCCACAUUGGGACUGAGACACGGCCCAG
rnacentral:rRNA from 1 species